rnacentral:rRNA from 1 species
GACGAACGCGGCGGCGUGCUUAACACAUGCAAGUCGAACGAAAAGAGGGAAAGAGCUUGCUCUUUCCGGAAUUGAGUGGCAAACGGGUGAGUAACACGUAAACAACCUGCCUUCAGGAUGGGGACAACAGACGGAAACGACUGCUAAUACCGAAUAAGUUCCAAGAGCCGCAUGGCCCAUGGAAGAAAAGGUGGCCUCUACCUGUAAGCUAUCGCCUGAAGAGGGGUUUGCGUCUGAUUAGCUGGUUGGAGGGGUAACGGCCCACCAAGGCGACGAUCAGUAGCCGGUCUGAGAGGAUGAACGGCCACACUGGAACUGAGACACGGUCCAGACUCCUACGGGAGGCAGCAGUGGGGAAUCUUCCGCAAUGGGGCGAAAAGCCUGACGGGAGCAAACGCCCGCGUGAGUGAACGACGGGCCCUUUCGGGGUUGUAAAAACUUCUG